UGAAAAUUAUUAAAUCCUCACGUCGGUUGAUUGUGUCGGAACGACAAUCCAGAGCACAUAAACUCGACCAUGCAGCCAUCCAUACUUUGUACUUCUUCCUCUCUAGAGAACUAAAUGUUUACUGAUUACAAGCUCAUGCUCGAUGACAACACGUGAAUCAAGAAAAAACAAGGUUACAAAGACAGUUUGAGUGAAACACAAACUCAAAAUCGGCCCCCGAAGUGGUCCACCUAGAGUCUUCACCAGGAUUCGAAGUUCCAGUUCCAAAGUUGAAGACAAUCGACAUCCAAGUCCUUAACUCCCGCAGGACUACUGAUGAUGGCAGCGGCCUGGGAAUGAACCCGUGACAGGCGGACGGACGGACAGCCACAAUAAAGCAAUUUGCGGCUUUUCUCCUUUUGGGGGCCCCUAACAAGAAUUAAGUGGUGACCAGCCCACGUUAGUGUGAGCUCAAAGUAUGUCUCCUAACGUUUGUGACCUAGAUGGGAACAGAUCAAAACAAGUAGAGACUCUAUGUUUGAAGAUCAGUAGAGACCUACUUGUUUG